UGAGUACGCUGUUUACAUGAUUAAGAGCUUAGUAUGUUAAAAUGAGCUUUGAUGAUAUUGAAUGUUUAUUAUAUAUUGUGACUGCUUGCCUGUGAUGUAAGCAUGUUAUAAAUGAUUACUAGAAUGUUCUAUGUGUUGAACAUGAUAAAUGUAUGAAAGCAUGCAAUAAAUGUGAGUACGUUAUGCAUGUUAAUGGAAAGGUUAUGACUCUAGGAUAUGCUUCUUUGUUGUUGAGCCAUGACUUAUUUAUAUGAGUAUGAUAGUCUACUAAUUCCCGCGAAGUUCCUGACCAAUGCUCUAUGUGCUAAGUUAGGGAGCAUGAGUACUCCUGACCGUUAGUAUAUGAGAUAAAUAGGCCGCCAGAGAAAUUAGUAGACGGGCUGUAUUUGACCGAGAGCGAGUCUUACAUACGAGUCCGAAAAUUCUAGAUAAGCAUAUCGAGAGAGAGUCAGUAACCUAAGCUGGAGGUAGCUGAGAUACCUCAUUAAUGAACAAAUGACCCUAGUAAGAGAAACUAGGAGUCAAUGGUGAAUAAAACUUAAAAACACCUCGAAAGAUUAGUUAUGAACUCAGGAAAAAUAAGUUGGCUACUGACUGGGUAAUUUAAUUACUUAUCAAAAUUAUUUAACUUUUCUUUCCAGAUUUAGUUGAUGCAGGCCAACCGAGGACGAGGACGAGACCAGUGGGCUAUGAACUAUUU